AGUGAACGCUGGCGGUAGGCCUAACACAUGCAAGUCGAACGGCAGCACAGUAAGAGCUUGCUCUUACGGGUGGCGAGUGGCGGACGGGUAAGGAAUACAUCGGAAUCUACUUUUUCGUGGGGGAUAACGUAGGGAAACUUACGCUAAUACCGCAUACGACCUACGGGUGAAAGCAGGGGAUCUUCGGACCUUGCGCGAUUGAAUGAGCCGAUGUCGGAUUAGCUAGUUGGCGGGGUAAAGGCCCACCAAGGCGACGAUCCGUAGCUGGUCUGAGAGGAUGAGCAGCCACACUGGAACUGAGACACGGUCCAGACUCCUACGGGAGGCAGCAGUGGGGAAUAUUGGACAAUGGGCGCAAGCCUGAUCCAGCCAUACCGCGUGGGUGAAGAAGGCCUUCGGGUUGUAAAGCCCUUUUGUUGGGAAAGAAAAGCAGCAGGUUAAUACCCCGCUGUUCUGACGGUACCCAAAGAAUAAGCACCGGCUAACUUCGUG
rnacentral:rRNA from 1 species